AUGAUAGAGGCGCGGUACCGAUGAGUACCCGGAGGGCAUGGACGACUGCCUCCGGCGAAAGGCCGUACCGCCGAAGGGCGCGCAGCUGGUCCGGCUGGGCGUUGCCUGGGCCGCAGGGGAAUACCCGGCGGACUGUCACACAUCCGUGUGAAGCGCUAUCA
rnacentral:ncRNA from 1 species